UACGGGGGGGAGCAAGCGUUGUUCGGAUUUACUGGGCGUAAAGGGCGCGUAGGCGGCCACCGCAAGUCGACUGUGAAAUCUCCGGGCUUAACCCGGAAAGGUCAGCCGAUACUGCGGGGCUAGAGUGCAGAAGGGGCAACUGGAAUUCUCGGUGUAGCGGUGAAAUGCGUAGAUAUCGAGAGGAACACCUGCGGCGAAGGCGGGUUGCUGGGCUGACACUGACGCGAGGCGCGAAAGCUAGGGGAGCGAAUGGG
rnacentral:rRNA from 1 species